rnacentral:tRNA from 1 species
UACGUUUAAGUGUAUGAUGCACGAAAGUUUUUGAUACUUUAAGGAAUAGUUUAAAUCUAUUAAAUGUAA